rnacentral:rRNA from 1 species
GUGGGGAAUAUUGGACAAUGGGCGCAAGCCUGAUCCAGCCAUGCCGCGUGAGUGAUGAAGGCCUUAGGGUUGUAAAGCUCUUUCAGUGGGGACGAUAAUGACGGUACCCACAGAAGAAGCCCCGGCUAACUUCGUGCCAGCAGCCGCGGUAAUACGAAGGGGGCUAGCGUUGUUCGGAUUUACUGGGCGUAAAGCGCACGUAGGCGGAUCGUUAAUUCGGGUGUGAAAUCCUGGAGCUCAACUCCAGAACUGCCUUCGAUACUGGCGAUCUUGAGUCCGGAAGAGGUGAGUGGAACUCCUAGUGUAGAGGUGGAAUUCGUAGAUAUUAGGAAGAACACCAGUGGCGAAGGCGGCUCACUGGUCCGGUACUGACGCUGAGGUGCGAAAGCGUGGGGAGCAAACAGGAUUAGAAACCCCAGUAGUCC